rnacentral:snRNA from 1 species
GAACUGGCUUUCGAGGUGCACAAACUUAAACCGGAACUAUACAAAUAAGAUUAGCAUGGGCCCUGAACAAGGAUAACAUACAAAGUCGUAGAGCUUCUAAUAUUUUU